UACGUAGGGUGCGAGCGUUAAUCGGAAUUACUGGGCGUAAGGCGUGCGCAGGCGGUUUUUUAAUCCAGAUGUGAAAUCCCCGGGCUUAACCUGGGAACUGCAUUUGGAACUAGAAGACUAGAGUACGGCAGAGGGGGGUAGAAUUCCACGUGUAGCAGUGAAAUGCGUAGAUAUGUGGAGGAAUACCGAUGGCGAAGGCAGCCCCCUGGGUCGAUACUGACGCUCAUGCACGAAAGCGUGGGGAGCAAACAGG
rnacentral:rRNA from 1 species